rnacentral:rRNA from 1 species
UGGCAGCAGGCGCGAAACUUGCCCACUCUUUGCAGGAGGCAGUUAUGAGACGUGAGAAUGAAUAUUCAGUAAAGAUGAAUAGGAGAAUUGGAGGGCAAGUUUGGUGCCAGCCGCCGCGGUAAUACCGACUCCAAGAGUGUGUAUGAGAGAUGCUGCAGUUAAAAAGUCCGUAGUCGUAGGAAACGAAACAGGGAUGUGAAGUCUCGAUUGUGAGUUUUAGAAAAACCGAUGGGGAACAUAGUAUACCAGGGCGAGAGAUGAAAUGCCAAGACCCCUGGUGGACUGAGCGAGGCGAAAGCGAUGUUCUUGUAGGUAUUUGGUGAUCAAGGACGAAGGCUGGAGUAUCGAAAGUGAUUAGAUACCGCAGUAGUUCCAGCAGUAAAAGAUGCCGACAUGUCUAUUGGGAACAGUGGACAGGGAGAAAUCUUAGAGUUCGGGCUCUGGGGAUAGUAUGCUCGCAAGAGUGAAAAUUAAAGAAAUUGACGGAGCUACACCACAAGGAGUGGAUUGUGCGGCUUAAUUUGACUCAACGCGAGGAAACUUACCAGGGCCAAGUGUUGUGUAGAAACGAGCAAGACAGAAGUGGUGCAUGGCCGU